UUCGGUGGAUUUCCACUGUUAUGAGGGGGAUUUCGGUCCCUUCUCUCCUUCCUUGUCUUUUGAGUACCCAAGUUUCCUUGGCAGGCUUGCCUGCCAGCUGGACAACCUAUAACCCUUUUAAUUUUAAAUCAGCGUCUGAAAAUUAUAAUAAUUACAACUUUCAACAACGGAUCUCUUGGUUCU
rnacentral:misc_RNA from 1 species